AAACCAACCGGGAUUGCCUUAGUAACGGCGAGUGAAGCGGCAAAAGCUCAAAUUUGAAAUCUAGUACCUUCGGUGCUCGAGUUGUAAUUUGUAGAGGGAUACUUUGGGGCCGUUCCUUAUCUAUGUUCCUUGGAACAGGACGUCAUAGAGGGUGAGAAUCCCGUAUGAUGAGGAGUGCGGUUCUAUGUAAAGUUCCUUCGAAGAGUCGAGUUGUUUGGGAAUGCAGCUCUAAGUGGGUGGUAAAUUCCAUCUAAAGCUAAAUAUUGGCGAGAGACCGAUAGCGAACAAGUACAGUGAUGGAAAGAUGAAAAGAACUUUGAAAAGAGAGUGAAAAAGUACGUGAAAUUGUUGAAAGGGAAGGGCAUUUGAUCAGACAUGGUGUUUUGCGCCCUCCGCUCCUUGUGGGUGGGGGAAUCUCGCAGCUCACUGGGCCAACAUCAGUUUUGGCGGCAGGAUAAAUCUAUAGGAAUGUGGCUUGCUUCGGAAAGUGUUAUAGCCUAUGGGAAUACUGCCAGCCGGGAUUGAGGACUGCGACUUUUGUCAAGGAUGUUGGCAUAAUGGUUAUAUGCCGC
rnacentral:rRNA from 1 species